AUGAGAGGCUGACCGGCGCUGUGUUUGCUAUGCUGUUCAGGAGCUGCCAGGACAGCAGACUGGACCCUCCAGGUGACACCUGGCAGUUAUCUCAGUAAUCAUGGAAGACAGUGCUGCUGAGGAGGGCCUUUGAGGGAAUACACAAAAGGUAAGCCCUUUACCUUCAUAUUGAAUGGCCACCUUGUCUGCUCGCACCUGAUCCACCGACAUGUAGGCGUUCAACCUUGAAAGUAAAGUAUGCAUUGAUUGUCAAUACUGGCUCAAACACAUGAAAAUCAAUGGCUUUCUUUCAAUUAAACCUCCC
rnacentral:lncRNA from 1 species